rnacentral:rRNA from 1 species
GUUGGCGUCGAUAACGGCGAGGGUACACCCGUUCCCAUUCCGAACACGGAAGUUAAGCUCGCUCGUGCCGACGAUACUUGGCGGGCGACCGCCCGGCAAAAUAGGUAGUCGCCAACA